GACGAACGCUGGCUGCGUGCCUAAUACAUUCAAGUAGAACGCAGUUGCUAACGGGUAAGUAACGCUUAGGUAACUUCCUCAUAGCGGGGGAUAACUAUUUGACACGAUAGCUAAUACCUCAUACUUUGAUCUGUACCUGCGUUGUAUUAGCUAGUGGGUUAGGUAAAGGCUCACCAAUGCGACGAUACAUAGCCGACCUGAGAGGGUGAUCGGCCAAACGUGGAAUGAGACACGGGCCGGACUCCUACGGGAGGCAGUAGUAGGGAAUAUUCGGAAAUGGACGGAAGUCUGACCGAGAAACGCCGCGUGAGUGAAGAAGGUUUUCGGAUCGUAAAGCUCUGUGGUUAGAGAAGCGGUAACUAACCAGAAAGGGACGGCUAACUACGUGCCAGCAGCCGCGGUAAUUC
rnacentral:rRNA from 1 species